UGUUACAGGAGUCUGACAGCUUCCAUAAUACAGAUGUUUUCAGAAGAGAGAUGUUUACAUCCCUUUGCCCAGAGGCAGCAAGCCUGUGACUUGCACUUGCCCAAUCAACAACUGGAAGAAUGCCAGGUUCUAAAAGUAACUCGGUGUCUUUUCAUGAGGAUGUUACGAAUGAUACUUCACACUUGAGUGAAAUGAAAAUUUCGGAUGUAAAAGGAUCUGUUGAGAAAAGAACAAUGACUCUGAUUGGGAAGAAUGGCUGUCAUGACUCCGUCUACAUAAACGCUGCUAAGAUUUUUCAAGGCAUUUGUAAUAAAAAGCCUAAAGAUAAGAUGUUAGUGCUGUAUGGUGAUGACUCAGUAUCUCCUGUGCUAACUUUUAAAGAUGAGUAUUCCCAGCGUGUAUCCUAUGAACUUGCUUUCAAUGCUCUGAAAUAUCAAGAGCUUCUUGAAGAAAUACUGCUGGAUAGUUGUCUUUACCCAUGUCAGUCAAUACCAGAUGAAUUAACCAGCUUGCUUGUUGUGAUGCUCUAUGACUUCCAAGACCGAAAGUUUGAAGCACGAGAGAUUUUUGAUGAAGAGGAACCUUUAGCAGAAGUUAGGAAGAUAGAACAUUUUCUAUAUAGUUUUAGGAUCAAAUUGGCAGCUGCACUAGCAAGAUGUCGCAUCAAACAUGAUGCUCUUUCAAUUGAAUACAUUCUACCAGAAACCAUACGGAAGCAUGAACAAAGGGCUGCUGCCUUACCUUUAUGUGUCUGGAUAAAUACAUUUAAGACCAGCCUUCAAGAUGUCAUCAGAGAUUUGAAGAAUAAAGGAUUCACAAAAGUUGAAUCUGUGUCAGACUUCAAGGGUUACGCUUACUGUAUGGACCAGCAUUGCCAUGAUGUAUUGUUCUUCCCUUCCUCUCUUAAAGAAGAACUGCUUAAUUCAGAUCUUUUUGCAGAUUGCAAACUCUUACUACAGGAUAAGUCCCGCAGUCUUGCUGUACACUCUGUACAGGCGCUGCUGAAUACGGAUGGCGACGUUAUAGUGGCUCACGUAGGUUCCCAUCUGACCAUCGCUCAUAUGUCAGCGCUGAGAAAUCACAGCUUGUCCAGAGUUUUUGUCUGUGGUGUAAAAUCUUCAGCAAAAGCAGAUGAACUGAGGAACUUGUUCAAUCAUAUGGGAUGUGAAAAUAUUCAGUUGUUAUAUGAAGACUUUACUGAGAUUGGACCAACAGAUCCCAGACUUCAAAAUGCAAAAGUGAUUUUGUUGAUACCACAAUGCUCUGGACUGGGUUUUAGUAAUCCAAUAGAUUUUAUUUUAAGUGAACAUGGAGAUGCAGGAUUGCUAAGAGACCUUUUACAAGGAUCUGUGGCUAAGGAUAAACUCUGUAGUCUCGCUGAGCGGCAGCUUACCGAGUUGAUGCAUGCAAUGAAAUUUAAAGUACAAACUAUUGUUUACUGCACUUCUUCAAUUUACCCAGAAGAGAACGAACUAGUAGUGAAAAAAGCACUGGCAUCUGGUGUGGAAGGAAAUAAACUAAAACCAUUUAGGCUUAUUCCUCCUGUUUUUCCUACGUGCUCCAAUCCAGAGUCCUGCACUGACUUUUUUUUCAGAACAGAACUAUCAGAAAUUUCCAGUGCCUGUUUUCUAGCUAUUAUAGCAAGAGAGAAAGACUCUUCUGAAAAUGUGUCCGUUCAGGACAUUUUGGCUCGUGCUGCAGCUAAAGGGCUACUGAGCAGCACUGCAGAAAAAACAAAGGACGAUGAGAACAAGCAAUGGAAAACAGCACAACAUGGAAAUGGUGUUACUGGUAGUGGUACAGAGCCAAAGAGGGCCGAGUUCCCUCACCAUAAAGAUAUAUCUAAUAUUAAUGCUGCAGUUUCAGUAUCUAAAGCAGUAACUAAACUGAGAAAAAAGAAUGUCAACCAACCAGUCAGAUACGUUCAACCGAAGAAACCUAUCAGCCCAGCUGCAGGCACAGGUCUUCCUCGAGUGGUGCAACACACAGCUCAUUUGCCAUCUGUUGGCAAGGGGCAUGGAAGACAGAUGCUUGCCAGAAAGGCGCGUGUAGAACGCAAGAAGCUUGUGUUGAAGCCUGUGGAAAUUGUUUUGCCUCCAGUGAUAUCACCGUAUGUACGUCCCCAGCCUGGGAUGCCAGCUUCCAGUUCCUAUUUUGGCUGGACUGGAGCAAAGAGCUGGAGUGAGAGGGCGCUUCCACCGCCUCUGCCUAAAAGCGGUCAAACCAACCGUGCGAAGGAAUCGGCCGUGGCUGCAAGAGUCCUUAAACCUUCCCCCAGAUUUACAGAAAAGGUAAGGAUUCCUGAAUAUAUUCAUUCACACACUUACAUUACAGUUUAUCUUUAUUCAGGAUAAUCUUACUAUGGGAAACAUAUUAUGGGAUGUCUGCAUGGAAACAGCCAUGUUAAUCAUGUAAAAUCAGUAAUCACAUUUUGUACAGCACCUGGCCAAAUACAUGGCUUGCUUUCUAAUAUUUAUUCCUUCAGUUUUUACUCCCAUGUGCUUAAAAACUAUCAUUAAUGGAAACUAGAUAAAUAUUCUGAUACUAAAAAUAAUGAAUUAUCAUAAUAAUGUACUGUCAGACAUUGCCACCACUCAUCUGAGUUGAAAAGAGGCGUUACUGUCAAAGUAGGUUAUUUUUAUACAUAGUACCACUAAUCAUCUGAGUAAUGACUAAACAGAGUAGUUUGUCUUUCUUUAGAAAUUAGCUGUGGGAUUCUGACCUGCUCCCUGUUGCAAGCAAAUGCAGAGUAACUGGUAAAUACCUAUACUUGUUUUAUCGUCUGAGCACGGCAUAAAAGGGACGCACGCUUUUAAUAAGUGAUUUAUUGUUAAAUAUGGUUAAUAUCAGUAUGAAAAUGGCAAACUGACAGAAUGACUGUGAGAGGUAGCUUGGGG